AUUGAACGCUGGCGGCAUGCCUAACACAUGCAAGUCGAGCGGAUGAAGGGAGCUUGCUCUUGGAUUCAGCGGCGGACGGGUGAGUAAUGCCUAGGAAUCUGCCUGGUAGUGGGGGAUAACGUCCGGAAAGGGGCGCUAAUACCGCAUACGUCCUGAGGGUGAAAGUGGGGGAUCUUCGGACCUCACGCUAUUAGAUGAGCCUAGGUCGGAUUAGCUAGUUGGUGGGGUAAAGGCCUACCAAGGCGACGAUCCGUAGCUGGUCUGAGAGGAUGAUCAGACACACUGGAACUGAGACACGGUCCAGACUCCUACGGGAGGCAGCAGUGGGGAAUCUUGGACAAUGGGCGAAAGCCUGAUCCAGCAAUGCCGCGUGUGUGAAGAAGGUCUUCGGAUUGUAAAGCACUUUUAUUUGGGAGGAAGGGCAGUGAGUUAAUACCUUGCUGUUUUGACGGUACCGAAAGAAUAAGCACCGGCUAACUACGUG
rnacentral:rRNA from 1 species